rnacentral:rRNA from 1 species
AUUGAACGCUGGCGGCAGGCUUAACACAUGCAAGUCGAGCGGAGUGAUGGUGCUUGCACUAUCACUUAGCGGCGGACGGGUGAGUAAUGCUUAGGAAUCUGCCUAUUAGUGGGGGACAACAUCUCGAAAGGGAUGCUAAUACCGCAUACGUCCUACGGGAGAAAGCAGGGGAUCACUUGUGACCUUGCGCUAAUAGAUGAGCCUAAGUCGGAUUAGCUAGUUGGUGGGGUAAAGGCCUACCAAGGCGACGAUCGGUAGCGGGUCUGAGAGGAUGAUCCGCGACACUGGGACUGAGACACGGCCCAGACUCCUACGGGGGGCAGCAGUGGGGAAUAUUGGACAAUGGGGGGAACCCUGAUCCAGCCAUGCCGCGUGUGUGAAGAAGGCCUUAUGGUUGUAAAGCACUUUAAGCGAGGAGGAGGCUCUUUUGGUUAAUACCCAAGAUGAGUGGACGUUACUCGCAGAAUAAGCACCGGCUAACUCUGUGCCAGCCGCCGCCGUAACAC